CCUAGUAUAUAAAAAUAUUAACAUAUAUUUUAUAAAAUAAACAUACCACAAAAUACCAAUCAAUGUAAUUACAGCCGCACUUCUGUAAAAGCCUUUCAUAGGACAUACAGUAAGUGUAGAGUUGAAUUUGAUGGUGUGGACUGGUGGAGCUGAACAGGUGUGCUGCCCAACAUUGCAACUGCAAUAUUUGCUGAAACGGAUAAUUUUCAACAGCUGACACAAUCAUCCGAAAGCUGAAGUCAUACAUUGAAACCCCCAGCAUCAAAAAUUGAAGAACAAGAACUUGUUAAUGUGAACCAUCAAAGUUGCCUAACACAACUGAUUACCAUACUGUUAAUGUAGACAUUUGAUGUAUAGAAGAAUUUAAAUUACAAUAAAAAACAAACUCAAGAACA